CAACAGGGAUUGCCUUAGUAGCGGCGAGUGAAGCGGCAAAAGCUCAAAUUUGAAAUCUGGCACUUUCAGUGUCCGAGUUGUAAUUUGAAGAAGGUAUCUUUGGGUCUGGCUCUUGUCUAUGUUUCUUGGAACAGAACGUCACAGAGGGUGAGAAUCCCGUGCGAUGAGAUGUCCCAGACCUAUGUAAAGUUCCUUCGAAGAGUCGAGUUGUUUGGGAAUGCAGCUCUAAGUGGGUGGUAAAUUCCAUCUAAAGCUAAAUAUUGGCGAGAGACCGAUAGCGAACAAGUACAGUGAUGGAAAGAUGAAAAGAACUUUGAAAAGAGAGUGAAAAAGUACGUGAAAUUGUUGAAAGGGAAGGGCUUGAGAUCAGACUUGGUAUUUUGUAUGUUACUCUCUCGGGGGUGGCCUCUACAGUUUACCGGGCCAGCAUCAGUUUGAGCGGUAGGAUAAGUGCAAAGAAAUGUGGCACUGCUUCGGUAGUGUGUUAUAGUCUUUGUCGAUACUGCCAGCUUAGACUGAGGACUGCGGCUUCGGCCUAGGAUGUUGGCAUAAUGAUCUUAAGUCGCCCGUCUUGAAACACGGACCUCCUGUGUG
rnacentral:rRNA from 1 species